GGGGAUGUAAAGGUUUCGACGGGGGAGGGAAACCCUGGUAAGCGGGCAGUGGCGCCGGACCACUUUAAAACCGGCAAACCUUAAAAUUAAACGACAACGACUUUGUUGCUGUUGCUGCUUAAAUAAGCAGCCGUUCUUACCCGGAGCACCGCGGCCGGGAUAAGAGCGUCGAUUAGCGGUGAACGUGAGCGAGGGGGCCGCCUUCGACCCUUGCCAUGACGGAGAAGGCUACCGACGCCCGGAGCGUGCUUUUGCGCGCCGGGCAGGGGGAAUCUUAAAACAAAAGCUACGCCCGUAGAAAGCCCCGGCGCCCCUCUUUCGGACGCGGGUUCGACUCCCGCCAUCUCCACCA
rnacentral:tmRNA from 3 species